UACAGAGGUCUCAAGCGUUGUUCGGAUUCCUUGGGCGUAAAGGGCGCGUAGGCUGCGGGGCAAGUCGGGUGUGAAAUCUCAGAGCUCAACUCUGAAACUGCACUCGAUACUGCUUUGCUCGAGGACUGGAGAGGAGAUUGGAAUUCACGGUGUAGCAGUGAAAUGCGUAGAUAUCGUGAGGAAGACCAGUGGCGAAGGCGGAUCUCUGGACAGUUCCUGACGCUGAGGCGCGAAGGCCAGGGGAGCAAACGGG
rnacentral:rRNA from 1 species